GUCUGUGGAGGUGAGUCUGGUUGUGGAGGUGGAGGUGGGUCUGUGGAGGUAGAGGUGGGUCUGUGGAGGUGGGUCUGUGGAGGUGGAGGUGGAGCUGGGUCUGUGGAGGUAGAGGUGGGUCUGUGGAGGUGGGUCUGUGGAGGUGGAGGUGGAGCUGGGUCUGUGGUGGUGAGUCUGGUUGUGGAAGUGGACGUGGGUCUGUGGAGGUGGAGGUGGGUCUGUGGUUGUGGUGGUGGAGGUGAGUCUGGUUGUGGAGGUGGAGGUGGGUCUGUGGAGGUAGAGGUGGGUCUGUGGAGGUGGAGCUGGGUCUGUGGUGGUGGAGGUGGGUCUGUGGAGGUGGAGGUGGGUCUGUGGUUGUGGAGGUGGGUCUGUGGUUGUGGUGGUGGAGGUGGGUCUGUCGUUGUGGAGGUGGUUCUGUGGUUGUGGAGGUGGAGGUGGGUCUGUGGAGGUGGAGGUGGGUCUGUUGUUGUGGAGGUGGAGGUGGAGGUGGGUCUGUCGUUGUGGAGGUGGUUCUGUGGUUGUGGAGGUGGGUCUGUGGAGGUGGAGCUGGGUCUGUGGUGGUGGAGGUGGGUCUGUGGUUGUGGAGGUGGGUCUGUGGUUGUGGAGGUGGAGGUGGGUCUGUGGAGGUGGAGCUGGGUCUGUGGUGGUGGUGGAGGUGGAGCUGGGUCUGUGGAGGUGGAGCUGGGUCUGUGGUGGUGGAGGUGGGUCUGUGGUGGUGGAGGUGGGUCUGUGGUUGUGGGUCUGUGGUGGUGGAGAUGGAGCUGGGUCUGUGGUUGUGGAGGUGGGUCUGUGGUGGUGGUGGUGGGUCUGUGGUUGUGGUGGUGGAGGUGGGUCUGUGGAGGUGGAGGUGGGUCUGUGGUGGUGGAGGUGGGUCUGUGGAGGUGGAGGUGGGUCUGUGGUGGUGGAGAUGGAGGUGGAGGUGGGUCUGUGGUGGUGGAGAUGGAGGUGGAGGUGGGUCUGUGGUUGUGGUGGUGGAGGUGGGUCUGUGGUUGUGGUGGUGGAGGUGGGUCUGUGGUGGUGGAGGUGGGUCUGUGGUUGUGGUGGUGGAGGUGGGUCUGUGGAGGUGGAGGUGGGUCUGUGGAGGUGGAGCUGGGUCUGUGGUGGUGGUGGUGGAGGUGGAGCUGGGUCUGUGGUGGUGGUGGUGGAGGUGGAGCUGGGUCUGUGGCACACACACACACACUUCUGUGGAAGUGUGUGUGUGUGUGUGUGUGUGUGUGUGUGUGUGUGUGUGUGUGUGUCCAGCAGGGGGCGCAGUCUGCGUGCAGCCUCAUUGUGACAGCUGUCAGACAGGGCGAUGUCACCUGGCCGCUCUUUGACGUCGCCUGUCCCGUGCUGACGUCCAUCAGACACAUCUGGAUCACCGUGUGA
rnacentral:lncRNA from 1 species